rnacentral:rRNA from 1 species
CCUACGGGGGGCAGCAGUGGGGAAUAUUGGACAAUGGGGGGAACCCUGAUCCAGCGACGCCGCGUGAGUGAAGAAGUAUUUCGGUAUGUAAAGCUCUAUCAGCAGGGAAGAAAGAAAUGACGGUACCUGACUACGAAGCCCCGGCUAACUACGUGCCAGCAGCCGCGGCAAUACGUAGGGGGCAAGCGUUAUCCGGAUUUACUGGGUGUAAGGGGUGCGUAGACGGCGAUGCAAGUCUGAAGUGAAAGGCGGGGGCCCAACCCCCGGACUGCUUUGGAAACUGUAUGGCUGGAGUGCAGGAGAGGUAAGUGGAAUUCCUGGUGUAGCGGUGAAAUGCGUAGAUAUUAGGAGGAACGCCAGUGGCGAAGGCGGCUUACUGGACUGUAACUGACGUUGAGGCUCGAAAGCGUGGGGAGCAAACAGGAUUAGAUACCCCAGUAGUC